GUUAUAACCCUUCAGCUCAGCCUGUGUCCCUCCCAUUCCAGCAGCACUGCUGACCUCUUGGUCAGUCCCAGCUGAGCUAUCCGUGCUCACCCAACACCACAUUACAGACCUGUCCCAAGUUAAAGUGCUGCCUCGAACCCUUUAGACCUGGAAUUUCCAUUCCUGUCCCAGAGAUUUCCCCAUGUGGUGGGGCAGCACCGUGUCCACAAUGGGGGGGUAUCCACACCAGGAAGCUUCAGAUAUCUGAUUUCUCUGCCUGAAUUAACCAGCUCAUUCCCCUGGGCUUCCUCCACGGUGGAAGAAGAGGCUCUGGCAGUGGGUGACUGCAGGGUGAGAGCCUGCAUCCAGCUGUGCCUGCUGGAACAGCCACUCUCCCUGCCCUCAGGCCAGAGAAUCCUGGAGAAUCCUGUGGCAGCAGCUGGGCAGCACAGCCAGGUAUAAAUCAGAGGACUGGAGAUGGGUGGCUUAAGCAAUCCAGCAAAGUUUUACAGCAGUGCCCAUAUGCCAGGUACAGACAGCACUAAGUACAGCCCCUCUUUUCUAGUGAAGAAAAAGAAUCUUUCUGGAUGUGUUUGCUGCAGCUUGUGUAAAAGUCAAAUUUGGUCCAGUAUCCUGACUGCUGAUAAGGGCCAUGACUGAGCACAACCAUCUUCAAUGGACUGAACGUUGCAAAAGGAAGUCACCUUCCCCCACCCCAUUUUACAGAAAAAAAAGGGAACUGGGAGCCCAAAGCAGAGUUAAUUAACAACUGCACUGGACUGGCUUUGUGAUUCACAACCAGGCUAGAGGAAAGCUACAAGCAGAGAUUGUGGGAGGAAAAAGGACUGUUUUUCCUCGAAACUCCAGAUUAUCUGUAGCAAGAGAUCAGCUGCUCCUAGUGGCUCACUGUAUUUCCCAGGAAAAGCAGUGCUGUGGACAAUGGACCCUGCAUCCUGCUAUGUCUUAGAGUUAUUGAAGCUUCUGACAGAAUUUAGCUUCGAUCUUUUGCUGAAAAUUAAACUUUCAUUUUUUUGGAGUCUGUUCAUUUCAGCCCCUGUGGCAGCAGUUUCUACCUGGACUGGGAUUCCUGUGGAGCAAAAAGCUGCAGGAUGGGAGUGCAGUUGUCUUGGCUUGUUGUGUUUUACUCUUCCCUGGAUUUCUGUCUAUGGCUUUUGUUCAUCUCUCCACUGAAAUCACCAUCAAAAGGCUCAGCACGGAAGGGAGAGCCACACAGAGCUUAUCUGGGUUCCCAGAGACUUGUCCUGGCCGUGACCCACACAGGCCACCAGGAAUUUAGAGAGCCCUGCUUGCACACAAGGACAGUUUAAUUUUGUGUGCUGCUGUGAGUGGUUACUACAUGUCACAUGCUCCAGUGUGUCCGAAGUAAAUAGAUUUUUAAAUGUUCGGCUCAGUAAUAAUAAACAGGUUAAU